rnacentral:rRNA from 1 species
CCUACGGGAGGCAGCAGUAGGGAAUCUUGCGCAAUGGGCGAAAGCCUGACGCAGCCAUGCCGCGUGAAUGAUGAAGGUCUUAGGAUUGUAAAAUUCUUUCACCGGGGACGAUAAUGACGGUACCCGGAGAAGAAGCCCCGGCUAACUUCGUGCCAGCAGCCGCGGUAAUACGAAGGGGGCUAGCGUUGCUCGGAAUUACUGGGCGUAAAGGGAGCGUAGGCGGAUAGUUUAGUCAGAGGUGAAAGCCCAGGGCUCAACCUUGGAACUGCCUUUGAUACUGGCUAUCUUGAGUACGGGAGAGGUGAGUGGAACUCCGAGUGUAGAGGUGAAAUUCGUAGAUAUUCGGAAGAACACCAGUGGCGAAGGCGACUCACUGGCCCGUUACUGACGCUGAGGCUCGAAAGCGUGGGGAGCAAACAGGAUUAGGAUACCCUGGUAGUCCACGCUGUAAACGAUGAGUGCUAGUUGUCGGCAUGCAUGCAUGUCGGUGACGCAGCUAACGACAUUAAGCACCUCCGCCGUCGGGGAGGUACGGUCGCGAAGAAUUAAAACUAACAAAUAGUAAGUUAGACGGCGUGAGACGUCGCCGACGGACGACCGACGAGGGAGGUUAGG